rnacentral:tRNA from 1 species
CGGGGCGUAGCGCAGUCCGGUCAGCGCGCCUGCUUCGGGAGUAGGAGGCCGGAGGUUCAAAUCCUCUCGCCCCGA